AUUGAACGCUGGCGGCAGGCCUAACACAUGCAAGUCGAACGAGUGGCGGACGGGUGAGUAAUGUCUGGGAAACUGCCCGAUGGAGGGGGAUAACUACUGGAAACGGUAGCUAAUACCGCAUACCAUCGGAUGUGCCCAGAUGGGAUUAGCUAGUUGGUGGGGUGACGGCUCACCAAGGCGACGAGCCCUAGCUGGUCUGAGAGGAUGACCAGCCACACUGGAACUGAGACACGGGCCAGACUCCUCCGGGAGGCAGCAGUGGGGAAUAUUGCACAAUGGGCGCAAGCCUUAUGCGUCCAUGCCGCGUGUAUGAAGAAGGCCUUCGGGUUGUAAAGUACUUUCAGAGAGGAGGCGUUACUCGCAGGAUAAGCACCGGCUAACUCCGUGCCAGCAGCCGCGGUAAUAC
rnacentral:rRNA from 1 species